rnacentral:hammerhead_ribozyme from 1 species
AUCCAGUUGACGAGUCCCAAAUAGGAUGAAAUGUGCAUCGUGGAU